UACGUAGGGUGCGAGCGUUGUCCGGAUUUAUUGGGCGUAAAGAGCUCGUAGGCGGUCUGUCGCGUCGGAUGUGAAAACCCAGGGCUCAACCCUGGGCCUGCAUUCGAUACGGGCAGACUAGAGUACGGCAGGGGAGACUGGAAUUCCUGGUGUAGCGGUGAAAUGCGCAGAUAUCAGGAGGAACACCGGUGGCGAAGGCGGGUCUCUGGGCCGAAACUGACGCUGAGGAGCGAAAGCCAGGGGAGCAAACGGG
rnacentral:rRNA from 1 species